rnacentral:rRNA from 1 species
AUUGAACGCUGGCGGAAUGCUUUACACAUGCAAGUCGGACGGCAGCACGGGAGCUUGCUCCUGGUGGCGAGUGGCGAACGGGUGAGUAAUGCGUCGGAACGUGCCGAGUAAUGGGGGAUAACGCAGCGAAAGUUUUGCUAAUACCGCAUACGCCCCGAGGGGGAAAGCAGGGGAUCUUAGGACCUUGCGUUAUUCGAGCGGCCGACGUCUGAUUAGCUAGUUGGUGGGGUAAAGGCCUACCAAGGCGACGAUCAGUAGCGGGACUGAGAGGAUGAUCCGCCACACUGGGACUGAGACACGGCCCAGACUCCUACGGGAGGCAGCAGUGGGGAAUUUUGGACAAUGGGGGCAACCCUGAUCCAGCCAUUCCGCGUGAGUGAAGAAGGCCUUCGGGUUGUAAAGCUCUUUCGGCAGGAACGAAACGGCGGGCUCUAACAUAGCCUGUUAAUGACGGUACCUGAAGAAGAAGCACCGGCUAACUACGUGCCAGCAGCCGCGGUAAUACGUAGGGUGCGAGCGUUAAUCGGAAUUACUGGGCGUAAAGCGUGCGCCGGCGGAUUGUUAAGCAAGACGUGAAAUCCCCGGGCUUAACCUGGGAAUGGCGUUUUGAACUGGCAGUCUAGAGUGCGUCAGAGGGGGGUGGAAUUCCACGUGUAGCAGUGAAAUGCGUAGAGAUGUGGAGGAACACCGAUGGCGAAAGCAGCCCCCUGGGAUGACACUGACGCUCAUGUACGAAAGCGUGGGUAGC